GUGGGGUAUUAUGGGGGAGUGGGGGGAUGAUGGGUGAUGGGGGAUGUGGGGGUGAAGGGGGCGGGGCGGGGUGGGCGUGGGGGGUCCCAGGCAGCCCCUCAGGCUCUCAGCAUCUUCAGUCGCUUGAGCUAUUAUUCUUCCCCACCACACCCCCCUCCUUUUUCUUUCUUUACUUGAAGUAUUUUUCAGCGUGUUUGGGGGGUUUUAACAUUAUUUCUAAAAAUCUUGCUGUGCUUUCUUCUCGUGCGUCUAUCAGGCUUUCUCAACAGCUUCAAACGGAAAACUUUGAAGUCAGUGAACUUAAAAGGAGAACUGGCAACCGCGCCCGUGGCCCGCAGUCCCCAGGGCCGCCCGCAGUAACCGCGCCAGCUCGGCCGCGCCGCCGGGCCAGGGCGCUGCUCCCCCUCCGGGAUGCGCGGGCGGGGGGCUGGGGGCACCGGGGGGCACCGGGGGGCACCGGGGGGCCCGGGGGCAGGAGACGGCGGGGGCCAGCCUGGGGCGCAGGGACCCCCCCCGGGAUGCGCGGGGGCCCGGGGGCCCGGGAGGGGGGACGGGGGGACGGGACCCGGGGAUCAGAGGCGGCGAGCGCGGGGCGGGGCUGGGGGGGACCGGGCAGCCCGAGGGUCCCCGCUGGCGCCCGGAGCCCCCGUGAGGCCGGCGUCGCGCAGGGUCCCCGUGAGCCGCGGGCCUGGGAAGGACCCCACCCCCUGCACCCCCUGCACCCCGCCCCCUGCACCCCCUGCACCCCUGCCCCCUGCACCCCCUGCACUCCCUGCAUCCCCUGCACCUCGCCCCCUGCACCCCCUGCACCCCCGCCCCUCCGCUCCCCGGAGAAGGCGGCGGCUCGGGCUCGCUGGGGGCAUAAAGGCCCCGAGACUGAGGACUGGGGGCGCUGCUCUGGGCGCGUCCAUCCCCGUAGUAGCGCAGGUCGCGGCCCGGCUCCCCGGCGCUGGGGGAGGGGGCGGGGGGGGGGAGGGAGAUGCUGCUGGAAGCCAGAGUCGCUCCUCCAGCUCUGGGAUAGGAGCCCGCCCUCCCUCCCCCCUCUCCCUCUCCCUCCCUCUCCUCUCCCCCUCUCCCCCCUCUCUCCCCACCCUCUCCCCCUCUCUCCCCCUCUCCCUUCCUCUUCCCUCUCCCUCUCCCUCUCCCCCUCCCUCCUCCCUCUCCCUCCUCCCUCUCUCUCCCCCUCUCCCUCUCUUUCCCCAUCUCUCCUCCCCUCUCUCCCUCUCCUUCUCUCCUUCUCUCCCUCUCUCCCUCCCCCCUCCCUCCCCCCUCACUCAGUGACUCCGUCUGACCUGGGGACUCCCGGGGGAAGAAAGAACCCCCGGAUAGGAGCGGAGUUCCGACCCGGGAGAGAGGGAACCGAGAGACCCCCGUGAACUCCCAAGGCGACCCGGCGAGUGGGGAAGCCAGAGCCCAGCAGGACCGGUGGUUCUCCCCUUAUCUGGGGCCUGUUCCUGCUGACACGGGUCGGGUCGCAGCCUCCUGCUUUGCACCGUCACCGAGGCUCCGGCUCCGGGUCUCCCUGCUCCACAGUGGGCCUGUGCGCUCAGCUCGCCAGUGUUUCUGUGAGCAUUUCUGAGCCUCCUUCCUGGGACUUCCCAGCCCCGGAAUAAUUUCUCAUAUCUGUCCCAAGUCCCAGUCUCAACGACAGGACUCGCUGACUUCACGGUGGGAUUUGGGGAUUUUGUAGGAAGCCGUGUCCACUCACUCACUCACUCACUCACUCAUUUGUUCACUUUUAAUUUCUCAGUCCCUCACUCAUCCGUGCACUUCUCCAGGCCUUUCACUUACGUUUUGGUCCCAUUUCCAGGCAUUUGUUGAUUGAGCCAAAGAGGACUGACUACGUGUGACAUAAGUUGGAUCGAGUCACUGUGGAAGC
rnacentral:lncRNA from 1 species